GUGUGUGCUAGUGUUCCAGAUUUAGCCAUGCAAGCCAGCGAAGCGAGAGUGGAGCGGCGGACAGCUCAGUAAUACAGUUAUGAUUUGACCGAAUUUAGUGGAUAACCGUGGGAAACUACGGCUAAGACAUUUUACGGCGCG
rnacentral:rRNA from 1 species